rnacentral:rRNA from 1 species
GACGUAGGGGGCGAGCGUUGUCCGGAUUUAUUGGGCGUAAAGAGCGCGUAGGCGGCCCGUUAAGUCGGAUGUGAAAACCCGGGGCUCAACCCCGGGCCUGCAGUCGAUACGGGCAGACUAGAGUGCGGUAGGGGAGACUGGAAUUCCUGGUGUAGCGGUGAAAUGCGCAGAUAUCAGGAGGAACACCGGUGGCGAAGGCGGGUCUCUGGGCCGUAACUGACGCUGAGGAGCGAAAGCGUGGGGAGCGAACAGG